rnacentral:rRNA from 1 species
GUGCCAGCCGCCGCGGUAAUACGUAGGGGGCAAGCGUUGUCCGGAUUUACUGGGCGUAAAGAGCGCGUAGGCGGAGAUCUAAGCGUGGCCUGAAAGCCCCCGGCUCAACCGGGGAGUGCGGCUGCGAACUGGGUUUCUUGAGGACGAUAGAGGAGAGUGGAAUUCCUGGUGUAGCGGUGAAAUGCGUAGAUAUCAGGAGGAACACCCGAGGCGAAGGCGGCUCUCUGGGUCGUACCUGACGCUGAGGCGCGAAAGCGUGGGGAGCGAACGGGAUUAGAAACCCGCGUAGUCC